UGCAAUUGUUACUUUGCAUGUUUUUACCUUAUACUUAUUUACUGCUUGCAAAUGAUUAGCGUGCUAGCUAGUGGUUAGCGUGCUAGCUAGCGGUUUAGCAUAAUUGGUAAACAUAUAUCUUUGAUUCAGAAUACAUGAUUGUGGUUAAACCAAUGUUACAUGCAUUGGAAAAUAAUAUUGCCAGUGUAACUUGAAUUGGUAUACAAGCUAGCUAGAAAAUCCAGUUCCUUUUCAUCUGUUUUGUCAAGUCAUAAGCAUGCAUGUGUGCCGAAAUAUUUAAAUAAAUCCCGACAUUAAAUAUAUAUUUUAAAGUUUUGGUAGUUUUUUUUAUAGCCCUUUCUUACCCAAAGAUAAAUAAGUUGCUAGUUAUUUUAGCUUUGCAUGUAAAAGAGUGAAACACCACAUGUAACUAACAGUUAAACUGUAAGUCUAUGUCGUUGUUUUUUGUUUGAAUUGUUUACGUGUUCGCUAUGCGUGGGAAAUUAUAAGACAAGCGGAACUACGUAGCUAAUAACUGUUGUAACGGGGAUCCUUAUUGUAGCAGCACACUUUUGGAGCGAAGGCAAUCCCGCGCUGUGUUAGCAAAAUUUUCAUGUCAUCGGGUGAAAUUCGUAAAGGUUGAAGUGUGUAUGUUAGGAUGGUAACAUUAUAAUAAUUAAGGAUGAAGUGUGAAUUCAUGCCAGGAAUAAUAAGGGCACUGCAGAGGCUAAGAAGACGCAUGGAAACUCUAAAAGAAACGUAAUUCAACUUGUAAACCAGAUUUCAAAAGGAAAUAAUGAAUCCCGAAGCUCAGAUGUCAGACACCGAGGCUGCCAGUACCUCUGGGUCGAUAGUCCAUGUGUUGGAUGAUGCAC
ensembl:lncRNA